rnacentral:rRNA from 1 species
UACAGAGGGUGCGAGCGUUAAUCGGAAUUACUGGGCGUAAAGCGUGCGUAGACGGCUAUCUAAGUCGGGUGUGAAAUCCCCGGGCUCAACCUGGGAAUGGCAUUUGGGACUGCAAGGCUGGAGUGCGGCAGAGGAGACUGGAAUUCCUGGUGUAGCAGGUGAAAUGCGUAGAUAUCAGGAGGAAUACCGAUGGCGAAGGCAGGUCUCUGGGCUGACACUGACGCUCAUGCACGAAAGCGUGGGGAGCGAAACAACGGA